GAUGAACGCUGGCGGCGUGCCUAAUACAUGCAAGUCGAGCGAACGGACGAGAAGCUUGCUUCUCUGAUGUUAGCGGCGGACGGGUGAGUAACACGUGGAUAACCUACCUAUAAGACUGGGAUAACUUCGGGAAACCGGAGCUAAUACCGGAUGAUAUUUUGAACCGCAUGGUUCAAAAGUGAAAGACGGUCUUGCUGUCACUUAUAGAUGGAUCCGCGCUGCAUUAGCUAGUUGGUAAGGUAACGGCUUACCAAGGCAACGAUGCAUAGCCGACCUGAGAGGGUGAUCGGCCACACUGGAACUGAGACACGGUCCAGACUCCUACGGGAGGCAGCAGUAGGGAAUAUUCCGCAAUGGGCGAAAGCCUGACGGAGCAACGCCGCGUGAGUGAUGAAGGUCUUCGGAUCGUAAAGCUCUGUUAUUAGGGAAGAACAGAUGUGUAAGUAACUGUGCACAUCUUGACGGUACCUAAUCAGAAAGCCACGGCUAACUACGUG
rnacentral:rRNA from 1 species